GGGGGGUCCCCCUGGGCCGGCUGCAGCUCACGCUCUGGUACCCCACCGCGACGAGCACAAGCUGGUGGCCAUCGUCCACGCCUGCAGGAAGCUGAAGGCGGGUGUCGAAGGAGCUGCCGGACCCCUACGUGUCCCUGGUGCUGCUGCCCGACCGCAGCCGCGGCACCAAGAGGAAGACCACCGUGCAGAAGAAGACCCUCAACCCCGACUUCAAUGAGAGGUUCGAGUGGGACGUGUCCCUUGAGGAAGCCUCGCGGCGCAAGCUGGAAGCCCACGUCAAAUCCACCGUGUCCUUCAUGUCGCGGGAGAAGGAGGUGCUGGGGAAG